rnacentral:rRNA from 1 species
UACGAGGGGGGCGAGCGUUGUUCGGAAUUAUUGGGUGUAAAGCGUGCGUAGGCGGUUAUGUAAGUCGGGUGUGAAAGCCCCGGGCUCAACCUGGGAAUUGCAUUCGAGACUGCGUAGCUAGGGUGCGGAAGAGGGAAGCGGAAUUUCCGGUGUAGCGGUGAAAUGCGUAGAUAUCGGAAGGAACACCAGUGGCGAAAGCGGCUUCCUGGUCCAGCACCGACGUUCAGGCACGAAAGCGUGGGGAGCAAACAGG